rnacentral:ncRNA from 1 species
UACCUGGUUGAUCCUGCCAGUAGCAUAUGCUUGUCUCAAAGAUUAAGCCAUGCAAGUCUAAGUACACACGGCCGGUACAGUGAAACUGCGAAUGGCUCAUUAAAUCAGUUAUGGUUCCUUUGAUCGCUCUACCGUUACUUGGAUAACUGUGGCAAUUCUAGAGCUAAUACAUGCAAACGAGCGCUGACCCGGCCCCCCCUUCUCCUCCUCGGGGUGGGGGGGCCGCCGGGGAUGCGUGCAUUUAUCAGACCCAAAACCCAUGCGGGGUGCGGCUCUCCCUCUCUCUCACGGGGGUGGGUGGGGCCCGCCCCGGCCCGCUUUGGUGACUCUAGAUAACCUGGGGCCGAUCGCUGGCCCUCCGUGGCGGCGACGUCUCAUUCGAA